GCCCUUCGCUCCUUCCUUUUCCUUUCCUACUUCCUUUCCUCCUCUCCUCUUUUCCCUCCCCUUUCUCUCCUUUUUCUUCCUUUUCUCCUUCCUUUUUUCUUAUCCUUCCCUCUUCAAAGUAAAUCUUUUGUUAACUCAAUUGGUUUCUACUUUGGUAUUGGAGGUCUUUGCAGCUUCACACCUGCUCCUCUUUGUUCAUUAGCUGGAUCUCAGUGUUAUGCUUGGUUCCACUCGGCGUGAUAAGUUAUCUAUCGCUGAGGACACUGUAAAAGGUGGCCAAGGUAAAUGCAGAUGAACCGCUUCUAAUAGUCCAUUGACUUGGACAAUACUUUUAUGAUCUGAUCUCAAAUCAGGUAGGACUACCCGCUGAACUUAAGC
rnacentral:misc_RNA from 1 species